rnacentral:misc_RNA from 1 species
GUAUUGCAUCUGAUAUCUAGAAAGUAACAUAAUAAGCUCAGGACAAGAAUCCAGCAAGUCUCAAAAUUGUGAUGCCAUUUGCUCCCCAAGUUUUCUCAUUUAUUGUUCAAAUAUGAUAGAGAACCAAACCAGUACAGACACACACUUGAACAGCGUGCUCUCACUUCACAGUGUAUUUCUGAUCCCAGAAUUUCAUCAAAAUUCAUUUCAAAGCAGUCAAACACCAUGUCCAAGCUAAAAGCAUCUAGAUCCAGAAAUUUCAUCUGAAUAUGCUUUCGAGCUAGACAGAACAUGUAAAAAGGUAUAAAGUAGUAGUGUAGUACUCAUUCAAUCUAGAAUCAUUAAUUAAAGUACAACACUUUAUAAACAAUAUAGUGAUGGAUCUCUCUUAGGUUGCACACAUUAGAGAUGAUGUACCUGA